GGGGCCUCCGGACACGCAGGCUCGCUCGGCCGCCCUCCCCGAGGUGGCGGCAGCGGCCUGACCCCUCCUUCCCGGGCCAGUGCGGCCGCGGCCUCAGCGGCUCCAGCCAGGCCCGGGUGUCCCCCCCCACCGCGCCCUCACAAAACGGCUCCCCGGCGGCCGUUGGCGCCUCGUGCCCCAACGGUCACCCGCCUCACACGCUCCCCACAGCCGGGAGAGCCAGAGAAAGUCGCUCCGGGAGGGGAACGCGAACCGUCCGAAGCCUCACCGGGUCCGGCGGAGGGGGCUCCCGGGUACAUGUCUCCGUGUGCGGCGGCGGAGGCGGCGCCUCGCUCCAGGAAAAGAGACACGUAUAGAUGGACACAAACCAAACUGACUGUUGGACACAGAAACAGGCCAAAACGCUACGGAAAUUAAUCCAACAAACCUUUCGACAAUUUGCCAACCUCAAUAGAGAAGAAAGCAUUCUGAAGUUCUUUGAGAUCCUCUCUCCCGUGUACAGAUUCGACAAGGAAUGCUUCAAGUGCGCGCUCGGCGUAAGUAGACGAACGUGACGCCAGAAUACACACUGUACUUAUGACUAAUUGGUUUUGCUUAAUUCCGAACCUAAUUGCUUGCCAAGUUCCUGUUGCGAUGUAGAGACGAGUCACAGAAUCCCAGAAUGUCAGGGGUUGGA